GGGUUGUGAGGUUAAGCGACUAAGCGUACACGGUGGAUGCCCUGGCAGUCAGAGGCGAUGAAGGACGUGCUAAUCUGCGAUAAGCGCCGGUAAGGUGAUAUGAACCGUUAUAACCGGCGAUUUCCGAAUGGGGAAACCCAGUGUGACUCGUCACACUAUCAUUAACUGAAUCCAUAGGUUAAUGAGGCGAACCGGGGGAACUGAAACAUCUAAGUACCCCGAGGAAAAGAAAUCAACCGAGAUUCCCCCAGUAGCGGCGAGCGAACGGGGAGGAGCCCAGAGCCUGAAUCAGCAUGUGUGUUAGUGGAAGCGUCUGGAAAGGCGCGCGAUACAGGGUGACAGCCCCGUACACAAAAGCGCAUGUGCUGUGAGCUCGAUGAGUAGGGCGGGACACGUGGUAUCCUGUCUGAAUAUGGGGGGACCAUCCUCCAAGGCUAAAUACUCCUGACUGACCGAUAGUGAACCAGUACCGUGAGGGAAAGGCGAAAAGAACCCCGGCGAGGGGAGUGAAAAAGAACCUGAAACCGUGUACGUACAAGCAGUGGGAGCACAGGUUUACCUGUGUGACUGCGUACCUUUUGUAUAAUGGGUCAGCGACUUAUAUUCUGUAGCAAGGUUAACCGAAUAGGGGAGCCGGAGGGAAACCGAGUCUUAAUUGGGCGUUAAGUUGCAGGGUAUAGACCCGAAACCCGGUGAUCUAGCCAUGGGCAGGUUGAAGGUUGGGUAACACUAACUGGAGGACCGAACCGACUAAUGUUGAAAAAUUAGCGGAUGACCUGUGGCUGGGGGUGAAAGGCCAAUCAAACCGGGAGAUAGCUGGUUCUCCCCGAAAGCUAUUUAGGUAGCGCCUCGUGAAUUCAUCUCCGGGGGUAGAGCACUGUUUCGGCUAGGGGGCCAUCCCGGCUUACCAACCCGAUGCAAACUGCGAAUACCGGAGAAUGUUAUCACGGGAGACACACGGCGGGUGCUAACGUCCGUCGUGAAGAGGGAAACAACCCAGACCGCCAGCUAAGGUCCCAAAGUCAUGGUUAAGUGGGAAACGAUGUGGGAAGGCCCAGACAGCCAGGAUGUUGGCUUAGAAGCAGCCAUCAUUUAAAGAAAGCGUAAUAGCUCACUGGUCGAGUCGGCCUGCGCGGAAGAUGUAACGGGGCUAAACCAUGCACCGAAGCUGCGGCAGCGACACUCAGGUGUUGUUGGGUAGGGGAGCGUUCUGUAAGCCUGUGAAGGUGGCCUGUGAGGGUUGCUGGAGGUAUCAGAAGUGCGAAUGCUGACAUAAGUAACGAUAAAGCGGGUGAAAAGCCCGCUCGCCGGAAGACCAAGGGUUCCUGUCCAACGUUAAUCGGGGCAGGGUGAGUCGACCCCUAAGGCGAGGCCGAAAGGCGUAGUCGAUGGGAAACGGGUUAAUAUUCCCGUACUUGGUGUUACUGCGAAGGGGGGACGGAGAAGGCUAUGUUGGCCGGGCGACGGUU
rnacentral:rRNA from 2 species